UACGUAGGGUGCAAGCGUUGUCCGGAAUUAUUGGGGGUAAAGAGCUCGUAGGCGGUCAGUCGCGUCUGCUGUGAAAACUCGGGGCUUAACCCCGGGCCUGCAGUGGGUACGGGCAGACUAGAGUGCGGUAGGGGAGAUUGGAAUUCCUGGUGUAGCGGUGGAAUGCGCAGAUAUCAGGAGGAACACCGAUGGCGAAGGCAGAUCUCUGGGCCGUAACUGACGCUGAGGAGCGAAAGCAUGGGGAGCGAACAGG
rnacentral:rRNA from 1 species